UACAGAGGUCCCGAGCGUUGUUCGGAUUCAUUGGGCGUAAAGGGUGCGUAGGUGGCGCCGUAAGUCGGGUGUGAAAUUUCGGAGCUUAACUCCGAAACUGCAUUCGAUACUGCGGUGCUUGAGGACUGGAGAGGAGACUGGAAUUCAUGGUGUAGCAGUGAAAUGCGUAGAGAUCAGGAGGAAGACCAGUGGCGAAGGCGGGUCUCUGGACAGCUCCUGACACUGAGGCACGAAGGCCAGGGGAGCAAACGGG
rnacentral:rRNA from 1 species